rnacentral:rRNA from 1 species
AUUGAACGCUGGCGGCGUGCUUAACACAUGCAAGUCGAUCGGGUAACAGGUGUAGCAAUACAUGCUGACGAGAGGCGGACGGGUGAGUAAUGCUUGGGAAUCUGCCUAUUAGUGGGGGACAACCCGGGGAAACUCGGGCUAAUACCGCAUACGCUCUACGGAGGAAAGCCGGGGACCGCAAGGCCUGGCGCUAAUAGAUGAGCCCAAGUCGGAUUAGCUAGUUGGUAGGGAACGGCCUACCAAGGCGACAAUCCGUAGCUGGUCUGAGAGGACGACCAGCCACACCGGAACUGAGACACGGUCCGGACUCCUACGGGAGGCAGCAGUGGGGAAUAUUGGACAAUGGGGGCAACCCUGAUCCAGCGACGCCGCGUGGGUGAAGAAGGCCUGCGGGUUGUAAAGCCCUUCGGUGGGGAAGAAAAGUCUCGACCUAAUACGUCGGGACCUUGACGUAACCCAC